rnacentral:rRNA from 1 species
CCUACGGGAGGCAGCAGUGGGGAAUAUUGGGCAAUGGAGGCAACUCUGACCCAGCAACGCCGCGUGAAUGAUGAAGGUCUUCGGAUUGUAAAGUUCUGUGAUGGGGGAUGAACACAAUGACGGUACCCCAAUAGCAAGCCACGGCUAACUACGUGCCAGCAGCCGCGGUAAUACGUAGGUGGCAAGCGUUAUCCGGAAUGACUGGGCGUAAAGGGUGCGUAGGUGGUUUAGUAAGUUGGCGGUGUAAUUCCGGGGCUCAACCUCGGCGCUACCGCCAAAACUAUUAGACUUGAGUACAGUUGAGGUAGGCGGAAUUCGUGGUGUAGCGGUGAAAUGCUUAGAUAUCACGAAGAACCCCGAUUGCGAAGGCAGCUUACUAAACUGUGACUGACAUUGAUGCUCGAAAGUGUGGGUAUCAAACAGGAUUAGAUACCCUAGUAGUC